CCGCGCUAUGCAGACUGGGAAGAGCAGACAGGAAGCUCCUCCCCCUCUCUCACUCCCCUGUAUGCUGGACCUUGUGGAGCAGGCCCGCUGUGUGUAUACAGGCCCGGACACCACCAGUAUGGAAGACUUACCUGCCCAGUGCCCACUGCUGAUGCUGCCCUUUUAAAGUUGUGAAUGCAAAACACACUGAAGAGACUGCAGCCGGCGCGCACCUCCUUGUACAGCUUACGGUGACAUCAUCACAAGCAUAUGUGACAUCACAGGGUUCUAAACCAUCUUCAGGAUUCACACAAAGAAACUGUAAACUGGAAGCUAGGAUCAUGCUGCCACAAGGAUCCAAACAGAGAGCAGGAAACCAUUAUCGGGAGUGUGUGUGUGCAGGAAAAGAGGGCAGCCGCAGAGAUUGGAACGUUGGAAGACAG